rnacentral:rRNA from 1 species
UGGUAAUGCCGGAUGUUCCAGUUGAUCGCAUGGUCUUCUGGGAAAGCUUUCGCGGUAUGGGAUGGGGUCGCGUCCUAUCAGCUUGACGGCGGGGUAACGGCCCACCGUGGCUUCGACGGGUAGCCGGCCUGAGAGGGCGACCGGCCACAUUGGGACUGAGAUACGGCCCAGACUCCUACGGGAGGCAGCAGUGGGGAAUAUUGCACAAUGGGCGCAAGCCUGAUGCAGCGACGCCGCGUGAGGGAUGGAGGCCUUCGGGUUGUAAACCUCUUUUAUCGGGGAGCAAGCGUGAGUGAGUUUACCCGUUGAAUAAGCACCGGCUAACUACGUGCCAGCAGCCGCGGUAAUACGUAGGGUGCAAGCGUUAUCCGGAAUUAUUGGGCGUAAAGGGCUCGUAGGCGGUUCGUCGCGUCCGGUGUGAAAGUCCAUCGCUUAACGGUGGAUCCGCGCCGGGUACGGGCGGGCUUGAGUGCGGUAGGGGAGACUGGAAUUCCCGGUGUAACGGUGGAAUGUGUAGAUUCGAAAGAGAA